AGCCCGGAGCAAGAGUAAGAAAAAGCCACGUCCUCCAGAUGGAGGAUCUGAGGUUGGCAAACAGCCUGCUAGCGGUGACAAGAAGCGGUAUGCAAAGACCAGACCGCAGCACUGGUGUGACCACUACAGCCUGUGCUGAUCUAGGAGUGCAUAUGAAGUGGUGUAAGUUAUGAACAUUCACGUGAGACAGUAGAAGAUACACAUCCUCUGAAUGUCAAGAGCACUAGAGAAGUAAAGAAACUGUGUAGAAUGCAUCUGUUCUUUGGUGGGAAAUGGACCAAACAGCAUCUUUGCAGUGGAACCAGACUCCAUGGUAUGUAACCAUGACUCCUGAGAAGCUCUGCUCUGCUCUGAUCACAUG